rnacentral:rRNA from 1 species
GGGGAAUAUUGCGCAAUGGGGGGAACCCUGACGCAGCCAUGCCGCGUGAAUGAAGAAGGCCUUAGGGUUGUAAAGUUCUUUCGGUAUUGAGGAAGGUUGAUGUGUUAAUAGCACAUCAAAUUGACGUUAAAUACAGAAGAAGCACCGGCUAACUCCGUGCCAGCAGCCGCGGUAAUACGGAGGGUGCGAGCGUUAAUCGGAAUAACUGGGCGUAAAGGGCACGCAGGCGGUUAUUUAAGUGAGGUGUGAAAGCCCUGGGCUUAACCUAGGAAUUGCAUUUCAGACUGGGUAACUAGAGUACUUUAGGGAGGGGUAAAAUUCCACGUGUAGCGGUGAAAUGCGUAGAGAUGUGGAGGAAUACCGAAGGCGAAGGCAGCCCCUUGGGAAUGUACUGACGCUCAUGUGCGAAAGCGUGGGGAGCAAACAGGAUUAGAUACCCUGGUAGUCCACGCUGUAAACGCUGUCGAUUUGGGGGUUGGGGUUUAACUCUGGCGCCCGUAGCUAACGUGAUAAAUCGACCGCCUGGGGAGUACGGCCGCAAGGUUA